UACGGGGGGAGCAAGCGUUGUUCGGAUUUACUGGGCGUAAAGGGCGCGUAGGCGGCCACCGCAAGUCGACUGUGGAAAUCUCCGGGCUUAACCCGGAAAGGUCAGCCGAUACUGCGGGGCUAGAGUGCAGAAGGGGCAACUGGAAUUCUCGGUGUAGCGGUGAAAUGCGUAGAUAUCGAGAGGAACACCUGCGGCGAAGGCGGGUUGCUGGGCUGACACUGACGCUGAUGUGCGAAAGCUAGGGGAGCGAACGGG
rnacentral:rRNA from 1 species